AUCCAGCUGACUAGUCGCGAAUAGGACGAAACACGCGUUUUGGAU
rfam:Schistosoma margrebowiei strain Zambia genome assembly, scaffold: SMRZ_scaffold0003346